rnacentral:rRNA from 1 species
GACGAACGCUGGCGGCGUACUUAACACAUGCAAGUCGAACGGUGAAAGCGGAGCUCGCUCCGCUGGAUCAGUGGCGAACGGGUGAGUAACACGUGGGCAACCUGCCCCUCACUUCGGGAUAACUCCGGGAAACCGGGGCUAAUACCGGAUAUGACCUCCUUGGGCAUCCUUGGAGGUGGAAAGUUUUUCGGUGAGGGAUGGGCCCGCGGCCUAUCAGCUUGUUGGUGAGGUAGCGGCUCACCAAGGCGACGACGGGUAGCCGGCCUGAGAGGGCGACCGGCCACACUGGGACUGGGACACGGCCCAGACUCCUACGGGAGGCAGCAGUGGGGAAUAUUGCGCAAUGGGCGAAAGCCUGACGCAGCAACGCCGCGUGCGGGAUGACGGCCUUCGGGUUGUAAACCGCUUUCAGCAGGGAAGAAGCCGCAAGGUGACGGUACCUGCAGAAGAAGCACCGGCUAACUACGUGCCAGCCGCCGCCGUAAUAC